rnacentral:sRNA from 1 species
UUGUACUAGUGGUAGAAUGACCUUGUGACCCGCCCCAAUAUGAGCAUAAAAGUGGGGCGUAAGCACCACGAUAUGCGAAUGUUGGGUAGGAUUGUGGGAGCACGUAGUGCGUAACAAUCCGUAGGUAUCA